UGAGCCCGCGGCCUAUCAGCUCGUUGGUGGGGUAACGGCCUACCAAGGCGACGACGGGUAGCUGGUCUGAGAGGACGACCAGCCACACUGGGACUGAGACACGGCCUAGACUCCUACGGGAGGCAGCAGUGGGGAAUCUUGCGCAAUGGGCGAAAGCCUGACGCAGCGACGCCGCGUGGGGGAUGAAGGCCCUUAGGGUCGUAAACCCCUUUCGGCAGGGACGAAGCGACCACGUGACGGUACCUGCAGAAGAAGCCUCGGCUAACUACGUGCCAGCAGCCGCGGUAACACGUAGGAGGCGAGCGUUGUCCGGAAUCAUUGGGCGUAAAGAGCGCGCAGGCGGCUCGGCAAGUCGGGUGUGAAAUCCCGGGGCUCAACCCCGUGACUGCAUCCGAUACUGUCGAGCUAGAGGUAGGUAGGGGAGAUCGGAAUUCCUGGUGUAGCGGUGAAAUGCGCAGAUAUCAGGAGGAACACCGGUGGCGAAGGCGGAUCUCUGGGCCUUACCUGACGCUCAGGCGCGAAAGCUAGGGGAGCGAACAGGAUUAGAUACCCUGGUAGUCCUAGCCGUAAACGUUGGGUGCUAGGUGUGGGCGGAUAUCGACCCCGUCCGUGCCGAAGCUAACGCAUUAAGCACCCCGCCUGGGGAGUACGGCCGCAAGGCUAAACUCAAAGGAAUUGACGGGGGCCCGCACAAUCGACGGAGCAUGCGGCUUAAUUCGAUGCAACGCGAAGAACCUUACCUGGGCUUGACAUGCAGGGUGAAACCCGUGAAAGCGGGUGCUCUUCGGAGCCUGCACAGGUGGUGCAUGGCUGUCGUCAGCUCGUGCCGUGAGGUGUUGCCUUAAGUGGCGCAACGAGCGCAACCCCUGUCCUUAGUUGCCA
rnacentral:rRNA from 1 species